CAUGCUAUUAUAUUACCCCUUUUGGAUGUUUAUGGGCUUUAUUUUACACAUUUAUAUCAUUUUUGGGACUAACCUACUAACCCGGAGGCCCAGCCCAUAUUGCUGUUUUUUUGCCUAUUUCAGUAUUUCAAAGAAAAGGAAUAUCAAACGGAGUCCAAACAGAAUGAAACCUUCGGGAGUGUGAUUUUUGGAACGAACGUGAUCCAGAGGACUUGGAGUGCAAGUCAAGAAGCAGCCGAGGCUCCCACGAGAUAGGAGGGCGCCCCCUAUAGGGCGCGCCCCCCUGUCUCAUGGGCCCCUCGGGCGUCCACCGACGUACUUCUUCCUCCUAUAUAUACCUACAUACCUCGAAAACAUCCAGGAGCAAGACGAAACACAAUUUCCACCAUUGUAACCUUCUGUAUCCGCGAGAUCUCAUCUUGGAGCCUUCGCCGGCACUCUGCUGGAGGGGGAAUCGACCACGGAGGGCUUCUACAUCAACAUCCUUGCCCCUCCGAUGAGUUGUGAGUAGUUUACCACAGACCUACGGGUCCAUAGUUAUUAGCUAGAUGGCUUCUUCUCUCUUUUUGGAUCUCAAUACAAUGUUCUCCCCCUUUCUUGUGGAGAUCUAUUCGAUGUAAACUCUUUUUGCGGUGUGUUUGUCGAGAUCCGAUGAAUUGUGGGUUUAUGAUCAAGUUUAUCUAUGAAUAAUAUUUGAAUCUUCUCUGAAUUCUUUUAUGUGUGAUUGAGUUAUCUUUGCAAGUCUCUUCGAAUUAUCAGUUUGGUUUGGCCUACUAGAUUGAUCUUUCUUGCCAUGGGAGAAGUGCUUAGCUUUGGGUUCAAUCUUGCGGUGUCCUUACCCAGUGACAGAAAGGGUUGCAAGGCACGUAUUGUAUUGUUGCCAUCGAGGAUAACAAGAUGGGGUUUAUAUCAUAUUGCUUGAGUUUAUCCCUCUACAUCAUGUCAUCUUGGUUAAUGCGUUACUCUGUUCUUAUGAACUUAAUAAUCUAGAUGCAGGCAGGAGUCGGUCGAUGUGUGGAGUAAUAGUAGUAGAUGCAGGCAGGAGUUGGUCUACUUGUUGCGGACGUGAUGCAUAUAUACAUGAUCAUGCCUAGAUAAUCUCAUAAUUAUUCACUUUUCUAUCAAUUGCUCGACAGUAAUUUGUUCACCCACCGUAAUACUUAUGCUAUCUUGAGAGAAGCCACUAGUGAAACCUAUGGCCCCCGGGUCUAUCUCUUAUCAUAUUUGCUUCCAAUUUACUUUUAUUUGCAUCUUUACUUUUUGCAUCUAUAUUAUAAAAUACCAAAAAUAUAUUUAUCUUAUCAUACUAUCUUUAUUAGAUCUCACUUUCGCAAGUGGCCGUGAAGGGAUUGACAACCCCUUUAUUGCGUUGGUUGCGAGUUCUUGCUUUGUUUGUGUAGGUGCGUGGGACUUUUGAGGAGCCUCCUACUGGAUUGAUACCUUGGUUCUCUAAAACUGAGGGAAAUACUUACGCUACUAUUGCUGCAUCACCCUCUCCUCUUCGAGGAAAACCGAUGCAAGCUCAAGACGUAGCAAGAAGGAUUUCUGGCGCUGUUGUCGGGGAGGUCUUCGCUCAAGUCAAGACAUACCAAGUACCCAUCACAAACCCAUCUCCCUCGCAUUUACAUUAUUUUGCCAUUUGCCUCUCAUUUUCCUCUCCCCCACUUCACCCUUGCCGUUUUAUUCGUCCUCUCUUUCCCAAUCUCCUCUCUUUUCGCUUGCCUUUUUCCGUUCGCCAUGGCUAGUCCUCCUAUCCUUAUUGUCACUCCCGAACAAGAAAUUCUCAAUUUUAAGCAAAGGGAGAGAGAAAAUUUAAAAGAUGCUUGACAUAGAAUUUGCAAUGCCCAAUAUAAAGCUACUAGGAAGCUUGCUACUUCCGUUCUUCUCCGCAAUUUUUAUGUAGGCAUUAAUCCUUGGAAUAGAUGUGUUCUUGAUAUUGCUACCGGUGGUGAUUUGAUGAGUAGCCAUACGUUUGAUGCUUAUAAUGCUAUGUUAGAUUUGUUUGGCCCACCACCUCUUUUGAUCAAUGGAACUGUUUUAACUUUAGAACACGUUAUGCAACGGCUUGAGAUUAUUAAAAAUAAGAUUGCCACUAUUGAGUUGAUUGAAAAUUUGGAUAAAAAGAUUCAUGAUCACAUUACCCAAUUUGGAUCUAGGGUUGGAGUUACUUUGAAAAAUCUUAAAGAAAAAGAACCUAUAGUUAAUGAGAAAAUAGAUCUAGACUCUGCUAUAAUCGGUAAACUCGAGGAUAUCAUGACAAACUUAGGUUCCGCGUUUUCCUCCAUGAAAAACACUCCAAAAAUCCCUAUUAAAAAUGCUAAGUUUAUUUAUGUUCCUAAAAGUAAGGGUGAAUCUUCGAGUAAGGGAGACGCGGAUCUCAAAUCCAUAAGUGUUCAUCCCAAUUAUCUCUCUAUUGUCAAGGAACCUUUUGCUACCAAUGAAUUUCUUGAAUUUUUGCCUAAAUAUUUAGCUAUUGCUAAAAAGGGAGAAAUCCCUAGAGAUCACAAGUGCUCUAUUGAUGAAUUUAGUGCCAAAGAUGGCACUCGUUAGAUCUAUCUUCGCUUUUAUGCCUAGCUAGGGGCGUUAAACGAUAGCGCUAGUUGGGAGGCAACCCAAUUUUCUUUAUAUUUUUUUGUUUUUGCUCCUGUUUAGUAAUAAAUCUUGCAUAUACCUUCUGUUUAGAUGUGUUUUUAUUUUUUAAUUAGUGUUUGUGCCAAGUAUAACCUAUAGGAUAACCUAUGAUGAUAGUUGAUUUGAUUCUGCUAAAAAAUAGAAACUUUGCGCGCAUGAAUAUAAUUUUGUUAAAUCACAGAAACGUGAUUUUGCGUUGAUUCUUUUUGCUGCUGAUCAAUAAACAAAGUUUCCAGGACUUCCUAUUUUGGUAGGAGUUUUAGAGUUCCAGAAGUUUGCGUUAGUUACAAAUUGCUACAAACUGUUCUGUUUUUGACAGAUUCUGUUUUUUGUGUGUUGUUUGCUUAUUUUGAUGCAUCUAUGGCUAGUAAAAUAGCUUAUAAACCAUAGAGAAGUUGGAAUACAGUAGGUUUAACACCAAAAUAAAUAAAGAAUGAGUUCAUUACAGUACCUUAUGUGGUGGUUUUGUUUUCUUUCACUAACGGAGCUUAUAAGAUUUCCUGUUGAGUUUUGUGUUGUGAAGUUUUCAAGUUUUGGGUAAAGCUUUUAUGGACUAUGGAAUAAAGGGUGCCAAGAGCCUAAGUUUGGGGAUGCCCAAGGAACCCCAAGAUAUUCAAGGAUAGCCAAAAGCCUAAGUUUGGGGAUGCACCGGGAAGGCAUCCCCUCUUUCGUCUUCGUUCAUUGGUAACUUUACUUGGAGCUAUAUUUUUAUUCGCAACAUGAUAUGUGUUUUGCUUAGAGCGUCGUGUAUUAUAUUAGUAUUUUCUUUUUAGUUUACCACAAUCAUCCUUGAUGUACACACCUUUUGGGAGAAGCCUAUUUGUUAGAAAUUUCUAGAAUACUCUAUGUGCUUCACUUAUAUAUUUUGAGCUUGAUAGUUUUUGCUCUAGUGCUUCACUUAUAUCUUUUAGAGCACGGUGGUGUCUUAUUUUUGUAGACAUUAUUAUCUCUCAUGCUUCACUUAUAUUAUUUUGAGAGUCUUUUAGAACAGCAUGGUAUUUGCUAUGGUUAUAAAAUUGGUCCUAGAAUGGUAGGCAUCCAAGUUGGGUAUAAUAAAAACUAUCAUAGGAAGUGAAUUGGAUGCUAUGAUCAAUUUGAUACUUGAUAAUUGUUUUGAGAUAUGGAGGUAGUGAUAUUAAAGUCAUGCUAGUUGGGUGAUUAUGAAUUCAAAGAUUUCUUGUGUUGAAGUUAGCAAGUCCCGUAGCAUGCACGUAUGGUUAAAGUUGUGUAACAAAUUUGAAACAUGAAGUGUACCUGGCUUGUGCAUCCUUAUGAGUGGCGGUCGGUGACGAGCGAUGGUCUUUUCCUACCAAUCUAUCCCCCUAGUAGCAUGCGCAUAGUACUUGAUUUUUGAUGAAUUCUAAACUUUUGCAAUAAGUAUAUGCGUUCUUUUGACAAAUGUUGAGUCCAUGGAUUGUACGCACUUUUACCUUUCCGCCAUUGCUAGCCUCUUCGGUACCGUGCAUUGCCCUUUCUCACCUUGAGAGUUGGUGCAAACUUCGCCGAUGCAUCCAAACCCCGUGAUACGAUAUGCUCUAUCACACAUAAACCUCCUUAUAUCUUCCUCAAAACAGCCACCAUACCUACCUAUUAUGGCAUUUCCAUAGGCAUUCCGAGAUAUAUUGCCAUGCAACUUUCCACCGUUCCGUUCAUCAUCAUCAUGACAUACUUUACUUUUGUCAUAUUGCCAUUGCAUGAUCAUGUAGUUGACAUCGUAUUUGUGGCAAAGCCACCAUGCAUUAUUUUUUCAUACAUGUCACUCUUGAUUCAUUGCACCAUCCCGGUACACCGCCGGAGGCAUUCAUAUAGAGUCAUAUCUUGUUCUAGUUUCGAGUUGUAAUUCAUAUGUUGUAACCAAUAGAAGUGUGAUGAUCAUCGUUAUUAGAGCAUUGCCCAAAAAGAAAAAAAAGGCCAAAAAGGAAAAAAAAAGAAAGGCCCAAAAAAAUAAAAAUAAAAAUAAAUAAAAAGGGCAAUGUUACUAUCUCUUUUUCCACACUUGUGCUUCAAAGUAGCACCUUGUCCUUCAUGUAGUGAGUCUCAUAUUUUUGUGCUUCAAAGUAGCACCAUGUUUUUCAUAUAGUGAGUCUCAUAAGUUGUCUUUUUCAUACUAGUGGGAAUUUUUCAUUAUAGAACUUGGCUUGUUUAUUCCUACGAUGGGCUUCCUCAAAUGCCCUAGAUCUUCGUGAGCAAGCAAGUUGGAUGCACACCCACUAGUUUUCUUUUGUUGAGCAUUCAUAUAGCUCUAGUGCAUCCGUUGCAUGGCAAUCCCUACUCCUCAUGUUGACAUCAAUUGAUGGGCAUCUCCAUAGCCCGUUGAUUAUCCUCGUCAAUGUGAGACUUUCUCCUUUUUUGUCUUCUCCACACAACCCCCAUCAUCAUAUUCUAUUCCACCCAUAGUGCUAUAUCCAUGGCUCACGCUCAUGUAUUGCGUGAAGGUUGAAAAAGUUUGAGAUUAUUUAAGUAUGAAACAAUUGCUUGGCUUGUCAUCGGGGGUAUAGAAGUUGGGAACAUCUUUGUGUGACGAAAAUGAAGCAUAGCUUAACUAUAUGAUUAUGUAGGGAUGAACUUUCUUUUGCCAUGCUAUUUUGAGAAGACAUGAUUACUUUGAUUAGUAUGCUUGAAGUGUUACUAUUCUUUUAUCAAUAUGAAGUUUUAUUUUGAAUCAUUUGGAUCUGAACAUUCAUGCCACAAUAAAGAAAUUUACAUUGAGAAUUAUGCUAGGUAGCAUUCCACAUCAAAAAUUCUCUUUUUAUCAUUUACCUACUCGAGGACGAGCAGGAAUUAAGCUUGGGGAUGCUUGAUACGUCUCCAACGUUGAUUGUUCCAUGCUAUUAUAUUACCCCUUUUGGAUGUUUAUGGGCUUUAUUUUACACAUUUAUAUCAUUUUUGGGACUAACCUACUAACCGGAGGCCCAGCCCAUAUUGCUGUUUUUUUUUUGCCUAUUUCAGUAUUUCGAAGAAAAGGAAUAUCAAACGGUGUCCAAACGGAAUGAAACCUUCGGGAGCGUGAUUUUUGGAACGAACGUGAUCCAGAGGACUUGGAGUGCAAGUCAAGAAGC
rnacentral:lncRNA from 1 species